GGGGGUCUAGCUCAAGUGGUAGAGCGCUCGCUUCGCAUGCGAGAGGCACAGGGAUCGAUGCCCUGGUCCUCCA
rnacentral:tRNA from 1 species